rnacentral:lncRNA from 1 species
GGCCGUAGACAUUGGUGACGAUAAAUUUCUCUGCUCCAUUCUUCAAGAAAAAUUCUGUGUUAAUUGAGUAUCUACCAGAUUGAAGUGAUCUUCCGGUAAUCUCGCUUUCAUUCCAUGCUGUUAGUAAGCCUCCGGCAGAUCCUAAAGCAUCCAAAGUUUGAAAACGUUCGAACUUCGGUCCACAUAUAGAGCUCAGAGUUUGCAAAGAGAGGUGAUUAAGUUUCAUUUCCUGAAGAUAGAGAAUCGUGCAUUUGGCUGCAUUACUUGUGUCCUUAGCCAGACGUCUUUUAGGCUGUAAACCAAGACCUCUUACAUUCCAGAACAAGAUUUUCAUCGGAUUUUAAGAGUGCACAACAAUGACAGGGAGGCCUUCUGCAUGGAACACUCGGACGUAUCUGAAGUCAGCGGUCCCAAGCAGAGAGAGAGAGCUGAGAAUGCGAUUGGAUGAACCAAACAGAAGCUUCAUAUUGAGAUAAGAGAAAGCCAGUUUUAAUUGGAGACUGGAGAUUACAUGUGAGCCACACAAGGAGGAAAACACCACCAGAUUACAGAUAGUAGUAGUCAUAAGCAUAAUAUCAAAAGAUAUAACUACAAAGGCUAGAAGGAGCAGGGUGUAACAUCAAACUUCUUUCGCCACCAGCGGGAAGCUGCAAUGCUUAGUUUCGAGGCUUCUCAGAUACAUGAUAGGAGUUGAUGCUUCUUCGUCAGGAAAGAUCAACCCACAUCUUUUGACCAUUUUUGCGAUUUCGCCAGCAGUAAGCGAGUUGAUGAAGAAGACAUCCUCUUUUUGCAGCUGUUUCUCAGCAAUCCCCAAAGUCUUAAGCUUCUUUGAUCGUAUGCGGGCACUUCUUUUGGCUGGGGUUGCAGGGCUUGGGGGACUAUGGCAAAGGCCAAUACCAUUGAGAAUGGAGUUGAACAUCUGGGAGACGGGAAUGGUCUCCGGAGAGGAUGUGGUAGGUUGUUUUUGCG